GUUAAAACUGCAGUGAACGCGUUAUAAAACAAGCACCCUUUUCUCUAAACUCCCCUUCCACCCUGUAACGUACAUCCUUCCAAAUGAUGACGCCGUCCAAUGAAAACAAAGGAUGAGACAGUGCACACAUUUUCAAAAUCAGCUUUUGAGGCUAGCCGGAAAGCUAACGUUAUUCAUCAAGUGAAAGGUAUCUAGCUAGCAAGCUAAAUGGCUGGCAGGGAAAGGGACGAUUGUUUCACAAUGGCAGAGGAAUCUGCUGUCAAAGUCUGUGUACGCGUUCGACCUCUCAUAGAACGGGAGGAAACUGCUGCAGAAAACGCCUAGUCGGUGAAGUUGUAUUGGAAAGCUGAUAAGCAGACAAUUCAUCAGGUUGACGAUGGAAAUCUUACCAAGAACUUCAGCUUCGACCGUAUAUUUAGUGCUGAAGAAGCAACUCUGCAGCUAUACCAGGAACUUGCAAAGCCUCUUGUUGUCUCCACUGUUGAAGGUUAUAAUGGAACAAUAUUUGCUUAUGGACAAACUGCAUCUGGGAAGACAAUCACUAGAUGGGGAGUUCUCUUACUCCUGGAGUUAUACCCCUUCCCAUGGAGGAUGUCUUCCAGACUAUAAAACAUUGUCCAAAAAAGGAGUUCCUUCUGAGGGUGUCAUACUUGGACAUCUAUAAUGAGACACUGACAUAUUUGCUCUGUGACAGUUGGAAAAGGAAGCCUCUAGAAAUCUGAGAGGGAAACAAUAAAAAUGUCUAUGUAGCUGACCUAACUGAGAAACUGGUGACAUCUCCUGAGCAAGCCCUUGCUUGGAUUAGAAAAGGAGAAAAGAAUCGGCAUUAUGGAAAGACAAAAAUGAACCAGCGAAGCAGUCGUUCACAUACAAUUUUCCGCAUGAUCUUGGAGAGUCGUGACAGGGGUGACCCUGCAUCUGGUGAAAAUUCAGACGGCGCCAUUAUUGUGUCCCAUUUGACUUUGGUUGACCUGGCUGGGGCUGAUAGAGCAAGUCAAACAGGCGCUGAAGGUACACGUUUCAAAGAAGGAUGUAAUAUAAAUCGCAGCCUGUUCACCCUGGGUCAAGUGAUCAAGAAACUGUCUGAUGAAACCCAGAAGGGUUUCACUAACUACAGGGACAGUAAACUCACCCGCAUCCUCCAAAAUUCCUUGGGUGGAAAUGCAAAAACUGUCAUCAUCUGCACCAUCACCCCAGUUACUGUGGAAGAAACACUUAGCACCCUUCCAAUACCUGCCCAUCUCUACAAUCUAGUUUGCUAGUGCAGCAAAGAACAUGAAGAAUGACCCGCAUGUCACAGAGGUUUCUGAUGACGGAGCCCUUCUUAGAAGAUACAGAAAUGAAAUUGUGGACCUCGAGCGCCGACUUC